rnacentral:rRNA from 1 species
GACGAACGCUGGCGGCGUGCUUAACACAUGCAAGUCGAACGGUGAAGCCCUUCGGGGUGGAUCAGUGGCGAACGGGUGAGUAACACGUGAGCAACCUGCCCCUGGCUCUGGGACAACCACUGGAAACGGUGGCUAAUACCGGAUACGACCCGCCUCGGCAUCGAGUGUGGGUGGAAAGUUUUUCGGCUGGGGAUGGGCUCGCGGCCUAUCAGCUUGUUGGUGAGGUGAAGGCUCACCAAGGCGAGGACGGGUAGCCGGCCUGAGAGGGCGACCGGCCACACUGGGACUGAGACACGGCCCAGACUCCUACGGGAGGCAGCAGUGGGGAAUAUUGCACAAUGGGCGAAAGCCUGAUGCAGCGACGCCGCGUGAGGGAUGACGGCCUUCGGGUUGUAAACCUCUUUCAGCUCCGAAGAAGCGAAAGUGACGGUAGGAGCAGAAGAAGCACCGGCUAACUACGUG